AGCAGCCGCGGUAAUUCCAGCUCCAAUAGCGUAUAUUAAAGUUGCUGCAGUUAAAAAGCUCGUAGUUGAAUUUCGGGACCAUCAUGUCGGUCGUGCCUCGGUACGUACUGGCAUUGUUGGUUUCUACCUUCUGACGAACCAUGAUGUCAUUUAUUUGGUGUCGUGGGAAAUCAGGACUGUUACUUUGAAAAAUUGAGUGUUUAAAGCCGGCCCACGCUUGAAUACAUUAGCAUGGAAUAAUGAAAUAGGACGUUUGAUUCUAUUUUGUUGGUUUCUAGGAUCGACGUAAUGAUUAAUAGGGAUAGUUGGGGGCAUUAGUAUUCAAUUGUCAGAGGUGAAAUUCUUGGAUUUAUUGAAGACUAACUACUGCGAAAGCAUUUGCCAAGGAUGUUUUCAUUAAUCAAGAACGAAAGUUAGGGGAUCGAAGACGAUCAGAUACCGUCGUAGUCUUAACCAUAAACUAUGCCGACUAGGGAUCGGACGAUGUUAAUUUUUUAAUGACUCAUUCGGCGCCUUACGG
rnacentral:misc_RNA from 1 species